AGGUGAGCGCGCUACCGCUUGAGCCACAUCUCCAGCCCUAUAUUUAUAUUCUUACAAACUGUGUCCUUAUUAAGCAUUUAAUGAAUAACAGGGACAGUUGCUAGUAUAUUAUUCUUUUUUUUUUUUCUUAUUCCCAUGACAGUUGCUAGUAUAUUUUUUUUUCCUUAUUCUCAUGGACUAUCAGUGGACCCACCAUGAAGUGCCAAUAUUAAACCAUUUAUACUUACAAAAAAUGUCUAUGUCUUGUGGUUGACCUAAUAUUAAUGUCCUCAUUUUAAUGAUGAGGAGAAAAGCUGAGACUGCCCACUGACACAUGCAGUUGGCAAAGAGACUUUUGACCUGAACCUAGAGUUCCUGAUUUCACUGAGUAGUAGGUGUAAAUUUCAGACUAUAAAAGUAAACACAUGAUCCAGGCACGGCAUGGUGGUGCAUGCCUGAAAUCCCAGGUAUUUUGGAGGCUGAGGCAGGAGCAUCACAAGUUCAAGGUCAGCCUGAAAAAUUUACUGUAGACCCUUUCUGGAAAUCUGAUGAACAGGGCUGAGGAUGUGGCUCCAUGAUAGAGCAUCUACCUGCCUGGCAGGUGGGGAGGCCAUGGAUUCAGUAACCAGUACCACACACAAAAAAAGCAAAUGCAUAACUUUCUUUUUCUAAAAUGCCACCACAUGGUAGAAACUUGACAUCAAUUAACUUGAGAUUUUCUCCCCUCACCACUUCCCACACAAUCCAGAAUAUUUAGGUGGUGCCUCUGGCCCACACCUGGUUCUUCCCAGGUGUUCCUUGUUCUCCCCAGGUGCUUCUUAUUGUCAGGCAAUCGAGGUCUACCUUAUAGACCAUCUUUUCUGAAACUGCUAAGGCUCUCCUGGAUCCAGACAAUUGUCUAGUCUCAGGAAGGAGAGAAAUCUGGCUCUGAUUUACUGUUGUAUUCCACAAACUUUGAGUCCCUUCAAGGCAUUGUCUUUAAAUUCCAGAAUCUUAAUUUUGGGUUUUUUAAAUACUCUUCUCUGAGAUGCUUCUUUGCUAUGGUUUCAAAGUUUAUUUUGACAUGCAAAAAAAAAAAAGAAUCAGGAAUCUGUGUUUUCUUUUGUUCUUUCCUUGAGGCACUAAAGCAAUAAAGGGAAAAUAACUAGUCAUUGGAAUAGUGAGAACGAGGGGAGGGGAAAAAAAUAACAGGAAGGAGUCUAGGGACAGAGGAGGAAAACAAUAGUUAAUGUUCAAAACACUGUCCUGCCACAUACAUUUGCUGUUCUUUUCUUAAUACAGCUUCUCAAGUAAUUCUCAAACUUGAAAGUGUCUAAGAAAUUGUUUGAGGUUAAAAUGCAUAGUCCUCAUUUUAUUUGGAGAAUCCUACAUUGGACUAGUGGAAACAGGCUAAUAUAUAAGGUUAUGUUAAUGUCCAUAUGUGAACAAGUCCAAGGUGAAGUCAGAGUUUGCAAUCUUAUAAAAGAGAAGGAAAUAUUUCAGGCAGCUGAACCAGAAAUUUUUUCCUCAUUUUUUUAAUUGGCACAUUACAGUUGUACAUAAUGGUGGGAUUUGUUCUUACAUAUUUGUACAUUCACACAAUAUAGCAAUAUAAUUUGACCAGUAUCACUCUCCAGCACUUCCCCCUCCCUCCCUUCCUCCUACCUCCAAAUCCCUUUCCUCUCUUCUACUGUUCUCCUUUGAUUUUCAUGAGACAACCCCACCUUUCUUUUCCUUUUUCCUCUCUAGCUUCCACACAUGAGAGAAAACAUACAACCCUUGACCUUUUGAGUUUGGUUUAUUUUGCUUAACAUAAUGAUCUCAAGUUCCAUCCAUUUUCCUGAAAAUGGCAUAAUUUAAUUUUUCUUUAUGACUGAAUAAAAUUCCAUUGUAUACGUAUAUCACAUUUUCUUCAUACAUUCAUCCAUUGAUAGGCACCUAGGCUGGUUCCAUAGUUUGGCUAUUGUGACUUGUACUGCUAUACACAAGUGCAUGCAUAUAUCACUAUAGUGUGAUGACUUUAAUUCUUUAGGAUAAAUACCAAAGAGAGUAAUUGCUGGAUCAUAUGGUGAUUCUAUGCCUAGUCUUCUGAGGAAUAUCCAUACUGAUCUCUAUAGGUGGUUGUACUAAUUUACCAUCCACCAACAGUGUAGAAGAGUAUUCCUUUUCUCCACAUUUCUCCCAGCAUUUUUUGUUUUCUUUCCUCCCUUCCUUUCUUUCUCUUCUCUUACCUCUCCUCUUCUCUCUCUCUCUUUGAUACUGGGGAUUGAACCCAGGGAUGCUUUACCUCUGAACUACAUCACCAGUCCUUUUAUUUUUAUUGUGAAACAAGGUCACGUUUAGUUGCUGAGUCUGGCCUUGAACUUGCAAUCCUCCUCCCUUAGGCUCUAAAGCCACUGAAUUACAGGCAUGCACCACCAUGCCUGGGUUAUUAUUGUUUAUAUUCUUUUUUUAAAUAUUUUUUUUGUUUUAGGUGGACACAAUAUUUUUAUUUAUUUAUUUUUAUGUGGUGCUGAGGAUCGAACCCAGUGCCAGGCCAGCAUGCUACCACUUGAGCCACAUCUCCAGCCCCUUGUUUAUAUUCUUGAUGACUGCCAUUCUGACUAGAAUGAAAUGAAAUCUCAGUGUAGCAUUUCCCUAAUUGCUACUAAUUUCUAAUAUUUCUUUUUUCAUAUAUGAAACUGAAAUUUAUUUUUCCACCAAGAAUUGAAUUAACAAUCUAGCCCUGUUGAAAUAGCAAAGCCCAUUGGAACUAUAGUUCUGUGUCCAGUUUGCUUGGCCUGUAGUAGCAGAUUCAGAUGUGGUGCUAGGCCAUUUGUAACCAGACUCUUGUGAGUCAGAGUUCCGUCAAAAUGGCCUGACAGCUGAGUGUUAUGAUGCAUGUCUGCAGUCCUAGCUACUCAGGAGGCUGAGGUAGCAAGAUUGCUUGAGCCUAAGAGUUCAAGGCUAGCCUAAACAACAUAGGGAGAAAAACAAAACAAAAAUGGCCUGGCAGAUCAAAGGAGAGUCAAGCAAACUGUAGUGCCAUGCUACAUGCAGAUUGCAAAGGAGAGGAAGGAACUGGGGAAACAGUAUAAUUAGAAUCAUUUUAAGCUCUCUAGUGGGAGGAACAGCAAAAUAUUCUAUAUUUGGAAUGUCCUGGCAACUUGAAGUUCUAAGGUGGUAGUAGGGGUAAGGGAACAAAGAGAAGGGAAGAAUAAAAGAAGGCUCAGACAUCCAAGGGGAGGAAUUUGAUCAGAUAGCUUAACCAAUCAAAGAAACUGUUCUAGACAAAAGAAUAGUAAAACAUCUCUCCUAAGUAGUACAAGGAGAGAUAUGAUGUAAGAGAAAAAAAAAAUGAGAGAAUGUGGAGAAGGGUUUGCCAGGGCAGACAGAACUAAGAUGGAAAUAGAUUGAAUACCUGUAGGAGAUGAAAUAAAAAUUGUUUUUUUUUUUGGGGGGGGGGUAAAAAAUAUUUCACAAGUAUAAAAUCUCUAGGCAUGCUAUUAAUGUUUGAUUUAGAUUAUACAGCUUUUACGUUUGCCAUAUAUCUUUCUUAAAAAAAAAACUUAAAAGGGCUACCUAUCCAGCCCUUUCCUGGACACAGUUCCUUGAAGGAUUAUGGAGCCUCAUAUAGUCUCAGAGAAUUUCCUCUUCUGGAGUCUAAUUUUGCUCUUUACCUGAUCCUGCCAAACUGAGAAAAUAAACAUGAGUUGUUUCUUCCAUACGGAAUAACUCUCAAAACCACUCUAGUUCUUAACAAAGAGGCAAAAAUAGCAGUGUUUGAAGUUUUUCUGGUAAAAGCUUUCUUCUUAUACAAAUAAUCCUUCCCAGUUGUAUAGCACUUUAUACUUUUAAAAAUACUUUCAGAUGCAUUACCUUAUUUGAAUUUCAGUGAAUUCUAGCCAUAAAAGGAAUUUUCUAUAUUAUGGGUUUUUAUGUACUGCUUUUUCUGCUAUCAAAACCAAUAAAAUGUUUGACAUGGAUAAUUGGUUUCUUAAAACCUCAAUACUCUCAACCUUUCACUGUUUUCUCUUUAGUUUUCCCCUUUCUCUAUUUAUAACUAGAGAGCAUUUUAUGCUAUUGCUCAGUUUUCUUGAUUCUGCCAAAAUUACUCAGCUGAGUAACAUCCCAAGACCUAGAAAAAGUUUCCGUGGUGAUAAAUAUCUGGCCUUCUAUGUUAAAGCUGUCCUGGUCAUUCACUGGUAGUUGGAGAUUAACUGUGGGCUGAAGCUGUGGAAGGCCAUUAGGGGCUAUCAACCACUUUAAAAGCCAGACUAAGGCUUGGAUUCAAACCCUGGAUUUAUCAUUUUUUUUUAAUUAUUAUUAUUAUUUUUUAAUAUUUACUUUUUUUUUUUUAGUUUUCAGCGGACACAACAUCUUUGUUUGUAUGUGGUGCUGAGAAUCGAACCCGGGCCGCACGCAUGCCAGGCGAGCAUGCUACCGCUUGAGCCACAUCCCCAGCCCCUGGAUUUAUCAUUUAAUAGCUAUGUGGUGUCCUCUGUAAAUGAUGACAUCCACUUGUCCUCACUUGUAAAGUUUCUAGGUGCAGGAGAGUUCCUGUCUUACAGUGGGCAUUGAAUGAGUUUUAUGUCUCACAGAAGGAAGACUGUUGAAGAGAAGAGUCACCCACAGUUUAGGAGAUAAGGACUGGACUAUAUCUUCUUGAUGGAAGUAGAAAUGGGAACUUCUUAAACUCUGGGGCCCUUGUAUGCCCUGCUAAACUCUGACCAGCCACCACACCUGCCAAAACCAGACAACCUUCUGAAAAUAAAAUAGACAACACACUUGGGCUAGUCAUAAGGCACCUGCACACCAAAAAUCCCAAGUUAUCCUCAGCUGUGCACAGCAGAUGGCCCCAAUUAGCCCCAGAAUUAUGCAACAGCAAACCCAAACAUUGCUAGCCAAUUAACAUCACUCAGGCAUUUUACUUUCCUAAAAUAUGGGAUAGAGAGUUUUGAGUGCUUUGGCUUAUAGAAAACAAAAACAAAAACCAUACCCCUUUUCUGUAAACCUCACUGGAGAGUGUUUUCUAGACCUUUACCUAUUUCUGAGCUAGGUUCUCCACUUGGCAAUAAAGCUUUUCCACUCAGUCUCAAUCUUAGGUCUCUAAUACUCAUUAUUUUUCUUUAACAGCAAACAGAAAGAAGUCAUUUCUUAGUCUUGGCAGAAGACAUGGCAAUUAUUCCCCUAUGGGAGAAAAUAAAAGAAAGCCCCAGUGAACUUGCCAUGAUAGCUAUUGAUGCUUUGCAUAAAAGAGAACAAAACUAUAAGAACAGUCACAAGGUUGGAAUAAGUUGCUUCAACAGGACAAUCAAUCUCUCUGACUAGCCUGAUUCAGUGUCAGAGAAGCUAUACUGAGUAUUUACAUUGGCCAAAACUGCAUUAGAAGCCAAAAAAAUGAAAAUGAGUAAAACAUGGUCCAUAUCCUAAGGGCUUCAACACCUCAUGGGAGCUGGGCAUGGUGGUGCACACCUCUAGAAUCCCAGUGAUCCUAGAGGUUGAGGCAGGAGGAUUGCAAGUUCGAGGCCAAUUUGGUGACUUUGUGAGAACUUGUCUCAAAAUAAAAUAUAAAAAGGGCUGAAGGAAUAGCUCAGUGGGUAGGGUGCCCUUGGGUUCAAUCUCCAGUACUGUCAGAAUAAACAACAACAACAACAAAAAUGCCUAAAGGGAAAAGAUAAACACAUAAUGUAACACAUCAUGAUAUUGGUUGAUACUGAAAAAGACCCAAAAUGAAAAGUACUCCGGAGGAGUACUCUGGUGAGUGGUCAAUUCUAACUGUGGAAUAAAAGAGAAGACUUCACACAGGGGAAAUACUGAUGUUAAUUAGGACCUUCAUGUUGGUUCUAGCAAGUAGUUAUUAUGUGAAAAUGAAACAAAUUAUGGAGUUUACUGACAAUUCAAAUUUAUCCUAAUUCUUCUAUUUUUAUUAAUCUUUUAAAUUUGUACAUAAAUAUUUAUUUCACAAAUAUGUAUUUAUAUAUGUUAUCUAUACCCAGGUUUAUGGAUGUGUGUGAAUUUAUGUAUAUAUAAAAUAAAUUUAUGUAUUCAUAUAUGUAUAUGAAAUACUAUGCUUUUGUAACUUGUUUCUGCUUCUCUGGUAUAGGUUCAAGUGCUUAAAUGCUUGAAGCUGUUUUUUCUGCUAUGUAUUGUAGAUACGCAUGGUGAUUUCUUUUGCAUAAACUAAAACUUGGAUCACUCUCCAUUAUACACUCAUGAACUGUAUAAUGUCAUUUUGGUCAACAAUAGGCUGUAUAUGAUGGUGGCUAUUCCAUAGCCUAUCUGUGUAUAGGAUACACCAGCUAAGUUUGUGUAAGUAUAUUCUACGAUGUUUGCACAAUGACAAAAUUACCUGCUGACAAACAUAUUCCUAUUUUUAAGUGACUACAUAUAUUUGUAUAUGCAUGUAUACUUCCUUUUACAUGAAUUCUAAUACUACCUUCCUUUCUUCUUUUGCAAGACUUCCAUCUUCAUUUUCCACUCUGUAUUUUCUUUAUCAUGCUUGUCUUAUAGUUUGCCUGCAUCAACCAUUUUGAGACUUGGCAACGUGCACCAGGAUCCCUGGAAAAGAGAGCACUGGAGAGGCCCAGAGUUGUAAUCUUUCAUAUAACCCUGCUCCUACUUUUAAGUCUUCAUGCAGUUCAGCAACUUGCAAAUAGGUUUGCACUUUGAAAAGUGCUUCUGUCUUUACUGAACAGAGGUGGUUUAUGUGUAGCAUUGCUCUCUUGUUAGCCCUUAGGAGCAUUUUUGUUUAAUAAUAUAUUUGCUGGAGCUCUCUGCUUCAACCUUUCUAAUGUUGUCCCUUCUUCAACUGUCUCUGGGUCAAGAUGAUCCAAAAAGAAAGGAUUUAUCCUGUUCCCUUUACUUUACCAGGAAGAAAGUUCCAAGUAAUGUCACCUGAAAAGGUUCCCUGAUUAGGACAAAGACUAUUUUCUGCACUAUUCCAGGAAGCACCCUUCCCAGCUACUGAGAUUAAGUCACAGAAAUUUACUUAUUCAUCAUUACAAGCCCACUCUUGAGUAGUGGAGCAGCCCUGUUGGAAGCUUGCCUCAAGUCCCUUCUAUUAUAUAGGCCACAAAAGCACUUUUCAAACUGUAAUGCAUCAUACAAGUACAGGAUAUUAUUGCAAUUAUAAUAGAAACGGCAACCCAUUAAUAAGCAAGUCUUCCCAGGGUGUGGUGGUGCAUGCCUGCAGUUCCAGCUACUGAGGAGGCUAAGGUAGGAGAAUGGUUUGAGUGCAUGAUUUCAAGACAAGCCUGGGAAACAUGGUAAGACCCCCAUCUUAAAAAAAAAAAAAAAAAUUGAAGAAUAAGUCUUUGUGCACAGGUCACAUCCAUCCCUUUUUCCUUUAGCACCAUAUAUAUGAAUGACUCUGGGCCUAAUUUAUUCUAGGUACAUAUGUGUUUUGAUUAUCAUCUAGCAUUUAUAUCAUUUAUAAAUAUCUUCAGAUUUAAAGGGGAAAAAAAUCCCGUGAACAGAUUUGCCUACCUACCUCUGUAGAGCUAAAACAUACACUAGUAAUUUACAAGAAAUAAGAACUAAUUCUGUCAAAUCAACUGGCUCCUAAAGGUAAUUUCCAAAUCCUCCAUGUUUACCUUUUCUCCUUUAAAUUUUCAUAUUCUAAUUUUUCCUUGUCAUCCCCUUCCCAUUUAGGCUGAAAAUACUUGUUAUUCUUAUGGCAGUAUAAGGCAUAUGACACAAUAUCAAAUGGUAAUAUUCACUAAUUAAUGGAAUUAUAUCAAUGAAACUGUUGAAUUUUAAGUGUGGCAUACCAAAUUGCUAUUAAUUAAUUAAUUAAUUAAUUGCUAUGAUUAAAACAAAGUAAACAUCGUAUAUGUACUCCCCAGCGCCCCCCCCCACCGUGUGUGUGUGUGUGUGUGUGUGUGUGUGUGUGUGUGUGUGGAGUUGGGGGGCAGAUACAAUUGAGAAGGAAUAUACAGAAACAAAAGAAUUAUUAUACAGCAAUAUAGGAAUUAUCAGUGACUUAAAAAAAAUCCCUUGUAAAAAAAUUUAAGUCUGGCUGGGAAUGUAGCUCAAUAUAAAGCACUUGCCUAGCACAAGUGAGGCCUUGGGUUCCAUCCCCAGUACAGCCCCCACCUCAAAAAUAAAGUCUAUUUAAUAAGAAAGAAAAUGGAUGCCUUUGGGUUUAUAUGUUUAUGCCACUGAGCUUCCUUCCCUCUGCCUCCCAUCUUCUACCUUUGCACUUUCUUUUGUGAUUCUUGCCCCUCCCCUCACCAAGUGUUUGAAUGUAAGAAGCCAUCUGCUUCUGUUAUUUAUCCUGACCACACAUUCUGCAUAAGCGACAAGUGGGGUCAGUAUCCAAAUCCUGGUUGCUUCUUCCUGUGUGUUUCUUCUCUGAAGUGUGAUCUGCACAGUUAAGCACUGUAGAUGAGCCUUGAGUCACAUUCCCUGAUUGUCUCCUUCAAGCUCCCUCAUCAGUGUGACAAGGAAACUGAAAGACAAUAUCCUUCUCACCUUCAGCCUUUCACUUAUUUGCACAGAUGGCCCAAUCUGAAAUCCGUCCUGGGGCAGAAUUAAAAACAGUUUUCCUAAUCCCUUUCUUUGGUGUGUCCCCUAAUUCCCCUUUAACCACAAAAUUAUUCUCUUUGCCCCUUUACAGUAUACUUUGUGCCUUGUGAGUCAUGCUUCAGGAAAUUUUUUUUGCUUGCUUUGCAGUAAGCUUAAAAAACCCAAGAAUUUAAAAAUAUUAGUGCUUCUCAAUUCCCAAUGGCUUCCAUUUUAGUUUUGAAAAUGCCAUUGUUAAUAUAUCAUGUUUAUGUAGGCAAAAGUAUGCCAAAAUAUAAAAUCUUGUGAUAGAACGAUAACUACUGAGUUAACAAGGGAGGCUAUAAUAUAAUGAUAAACAUUGCAAUAAAAGAAAGUCUGUAAUAUACUAGGUGUUAAUGGAUUAAAAAUAUUUAAGAGGAGCAAAUAUGUUAUAAUAAUAAGAAUUUAAAAAGUUGAGUGAUCUGUGGAUAUGUGUUCCUUUGUCAAUUUCUACUGUUUGUAUGCCUGUGUUUUUUCACAAUUUUUAAAAGAUUUCAUUGUUAAAAUUUCCUAUUGCGUUUUGCUGACCAUUUGAACUAUUUUACAUAUACUAUUGAAAUCUUGCAGAAAAAUAGCAAUGAGAUAAGUUUGAAAGUGAAAGGAGAGAGAAUCUUUACAAAGUGGGGAGUUGUGGGAGACAAGUUGCAGUUAACAGAACAGUUAAAUUAAACAAAGGUAGAUAAAUUACAGAAGUUACAAAGAAGAACUAAAGUGAGUUACCUAAACAAUAGAGGAACUAAAAGUGAGACACCCAUCCUGGGAGGGAGGAGGGUGUAAGUGAACUAAGCUCUCAUCUAACAGAAUAGGAAGGAAGUCCACAGAUCAGAUAAAGUCUGAUAAAUAAAGAAGUGGCAAUAUGACUGUAUUAUUUAGAGAUAGGGAAGUAACCACCCAGAAGAAUUUUUUAAAAUGUAACUGUUAAAAAGUUAGACUUUCUCUAGAGUUUUAGUGGAAGGCAAAAUGAUGUUGUAGAAACAAGACAUAGCAGCAAAGCAUCCUUACAUUCCACAAUAAACUCUUCAACCUGAACUACAUUUUUGUUGUUGGUUUUUUUGUUUUGUUUUGUUUUUUGUUUUUUGGUACCAGGUAUUGAGUCCAGAGGGGCUUAACCACUGAGCCACAUCCCCAACCCUUUUUUAUAUUUUAUUUAGAGACAGGGCCUCACUAAGUUGCUGAGGCUGACUGUGAACUCUCGAUCCUGCCUCAACCUCCUGAGCCACUGGGAUUACAAGUGUGUGCCACCACGUGUGACCUGAACUACAUUUGAUUACAAAAAAAAAAAAAAAAAUUUAAAGGGGAGUGUGUAGCUCAGUUGUAGAGUGAUUGCUUACCAUUUAUGAGGCUAUGGGUUCAAUCCCCAGCAGUGGAGGGGGGAGGAAAUAGAUAUAUAUCAAUAAUGCAAUAGUAAGGCUGUUAAACCCAAGAAAUAAAAUACUCCUCUCUUUAAUACUCCAGCCUAAUUAUUUUUCACUUCUUGAGCUAUUUUGCAUGCACUAUGAUAAGUUAUAUACCUCUUCAUCUUUUAAUUGGUAUUCUGAAAUUACCCUUUAAUUGCUUUCCU
rnacentral:lncRNA from 1 species